rnacentral:rRNA from 1 species
UGGGGAAUAUUGCACAAUGGGCGCAAGCCUGAUGCAGCCAUGCCGCGUGUGUGAAGAAGGCCUUCGGGUUGUAAAGCACUUUCAGCGAGGAGGAAGGUGGUGGACUUAAUACGUUCAUCAAUUGACGUUACUCGCAGAAGAAGCACCGGCUAACUCCGUGCCAGCAGCCGCGGUAAUACGGAGGGUGCAAGCGUUAAUCGGAAUUACUGGGCGUAAAGCGCACGCAGGCGGUUUGUUAAGUCAGAUGUGAAAUCCCCGGGCUCAACCUGGGAACUGCAUUUGAAACUGGCAAGCUAGAGUCUCGUAGAGGGGGGUAGAAUUCCAGGUGUAGCGGUGAAAUGCGUAGAGAUCUGGAGGAAUACCGAUGGCGAAGGCGGCCCCCUGGACGAAGACUGACGCUCAGGUGCGAAAGCGUGGGGAGCAAACAGGAUUAGNUACCCUGGUAGUCCACGCUGUAAA